GGGGGGUGCCUCCCUCACCAGCAAUGGGGCUCCUAAGAGCCAGGGGGGAAGAGGGGCUGGCUCCGGUACAUUGCAAAUGACCUGCUUUUUUUCUGAUCCCGAGCUGCGUUCAGACCCCUGUCGGAUAGUAAAUCCCAAGUAAGGUACCUUCUGCUGGAAGAUCUGAGCUUUCUUCUUGGACACCUAAAACCCACAGUCCUCCAGUGAAGGAUCCAGUGAGAUUUUCCAGGUUAACGGUCAUAAUCGCCUACUGGUCCAACGUUCAGAAGUAACACAGGCACCUGGACAAUACACAGUAGAUGUGGAAGGACACGGUUGUACAUUUAUCCAGGCCACCCUUAAGUACAAUGUUCUCCUACCUAAGAAGGCAUCUGGAUUUUCUCUUUCCUUGGAAAUAGUAAAGAACUACUCUUCGACUGCUUUUGACCUCACAGUGACCCUCAAAUACACUGGAAUUCGCAAUAAAUC
rnacentral:lncRNA from 10 species